CUCUACACCCUUUGUGACAUACCUACAACUGUUGCUUCGGCGGGUCAGGGUCUCCGCGACCCUCCCGGCCUCCCCGCCCCUCCCCGGGCGGGUCGGCGCCCGCCGGAGGAUAACCAAACUCUGAUUUAACGACGUUUCUUCUGAGUGGUACAAGCAAAUAAUCAAAACUUUUAACAACGGAUCUCUUGGUUCUGGCAUCGAUGAAGAACGCAGCGAAAUGCGAUAAGUAAUGUGAAUUGCAGAAUUCAGUGAAUCAUCGAAUCUUUGAACGCACAUUGCGCCCGCCAGCAUUCUGGCGGGCAUGCCUGUUCGAGCGUCAUUUCAACCCUCAAGCCCUGCUUGGUGUUGGGGCCCUACAGCCGAUGUAGGCCCUCAAAGGUAGUGGCGGACCCUCCCGGAGCCUCCUUUGCGUAGUAACUUUACGUCUCGCACUGGGAUCCGGAGGGACUCUUGCCGUAAAACCCCCCAGUUUUUCCAAAGGUUGACCUCGGAUCAGGUAGGAAUACCCGCUGAACUUAAGCAUAUCAAUAAGGCGGAGGAA
rnacentral:rRNA from 1 species